rnacentral:tRNA from 1 species
UAUAGGGAGACCAACUUCAAGUCGCAAGUCGCAAGUCGUAAGUCGCAAGUCGACCCAAGACGAAAAAGUAAAAUCGACAUGGCUUGAGGACAUCCCGAGGUCGGACAACACGAGGAAAAAAACCGCAAGUGCAAGAGCGACGCUUUCAAACUAGAACUGGUUCGGUGCAAGUGACACCACCAGUCGGGGCUAUUAGCUCAGGUGGUUAGAGCGCACCCCUGAUAAGGGUGAGGUCCCUGGUUCGAGUCCAGGAUGGCCCACCAUUAACAAUUCGCAAUUGACAAUUCGCAAUUCACAAUUAAAGAGUGAAUGCGAGCAGCUAGUCAAAUGGGCAAAAAUUCAGCACUGUCUGCAACUUCGGACAACUGCUGGAGAUUUUCCAGCGAAGAAGCACCUUGAAAACUGCAUAGAAAUAGAGAAAUUAAGUCAGGUAGAAAAACCAAGAAUUUGCGUUUUGAUAACU